GAGUUUGAUCCUGGCUCAGGACGAACGCUGGCGGCGUGCCUAACACAUGCAAGUCGAGCGAGGAAGCCCCUUCGGGGGUGGAAUAGCGGCGGACGGGCGAGUAACACGUGGGUAACCUGCCUCAAAGAGGGGGAUAGCCUCCCGAAAGGGAGAUUAAUACCGCAUAGAAGGUAAAAAUCGCAUGAUAAAUGCCUUAAAGGAGCAAUCCGCUUUGAGAUGGGCCCGCGUCGCAUUAGCUAGUUGGAGGGAUAAAAGCCCCCCAAGGCGACGAUGCGUAGCCGACCUGAGAGGGUGAACGGCCACAUUGGAACUGAGAUACGGUCCAGACUCCUACGGGAGGCAGCAGUGGGGAAUAUUGCACAAUGGGGGAAACCCUGAUGCAGCAACGCCGCGUGAGUGAAGAAGGUUUUCGGAUCGUAAAGCUCUGUCAUCCUGGACGAUAAUGACGGUACCGGAAGAGGAAGCCACGGCUAACUACGUGCCAGCAGCCGCGGUAAUAC
rnacentral:rRNA from 1 species